rnacentral:rRNA from 1 species
GAUGAACGCUAGCUACAGGCUUAACACAUGCAAGUCGAGGGGCAGCAUUCUUGUAGCAAUACAAGAGAUGGCGACCGGCGCACGGGUGAGUAACACGUAUCCAACCUGCCUUCAACUCGGGGAUAGCCUUUCGAAAGAAAGAUUAAUACCCGAUGGCAUAGCAAUUCCGCAUGGUGUUGCUAUUAAAGAAUUUCGGUUGAAGAUGGGGAUGCGUUCCAUUAGAUUGUUGGCGGGGUAACGGCCCACCAAGUCGACGAUGGAUAGGGGUUCUGAGAGGAAGGUCCCCCACAUUGGAACUGAGACACGGUCCAAACUCCUACGGGAGGCGGCAGUGAGGAAUAUUGGUCAAUGGGCGAGAGCCUGAACCAGCCAAGUAGCGUGAAGGAUGACCGCCCUAUGGGUUGUAAACUUCUUUUGUGUGGGAAUAAAGUGAGCCACGUGUGGCUUUUUGUAUGUACCAUACGAAUAAGGAUCGGCUAACUCCGUGCCAGCAGCCGCAGUAA